rnacentral:tRNA from 1 species
GGUAAAAUGGCUGAAAUUAUAGGCGGUAGACUGUAAAUCUAUUCAUGAGAAUUAUUCUCUUUUACCA